UACGGAGGAUGCGAGCGUUAUCCGGAUUUAUUGGGUUUAAAGGGUGCGUAGGCGGGAUGCCAAGUCAGCGGUAAAAAUGCGGUGCUUAACGCCGUCGAGCCGUUGAAACUGGCGUUCUUGAGUGGGCGAGAAGUAUGCGGAAUGCGUGGUGUAGCGGUGAAAUGCAUAGAUAUCACGCAGAACUCCGAUUGCGAAGGCAGCAUACCGGCGCCCUACUGACGCUGAGGCACGAAAGCGUGGGUAUCGAACAGG
rnacentral:rRNA from 1 species